AAAACAUGUGAUGAGUUUAGGUGGUUUACUCUUUGAGCUUCUCUCAGAAGCACUAGGAUUGGAAUCUGAGACCCUUAAUAGGAAGGAGUGCUUGAAGACUUUGCUUAUGGUCUGCCAUUAUUACCCACCUUGUCCAAAACCUGACCUAACUAUGGGGAUAAGUAAACACUCAGACAACUCCUUCCUCACGGUUCUUCUUCCAGACAACAUCGGUGGUCUACAAAUUCGUCAUCAAGACUCUUGGGUUGAGGUGGCUCCUCUUCCUGGAUCUCUCGUCAUCAACAUUGGAGAUUUCGUGCAGGUAAAGUAAGAUUCUGAACUACUCUUCCCUUGUUAAAUCUUCUUCCACACCUGUCGUCUCCUUAUGAGAAUCUGUAGUUAAGAGCUAAAUCUUGCUGAUUGUUCAUGGGUUUGAUAUAAAGUUCUGAUCUUUGUUGUCUUUUGUCGGUUUCCUGGUACAGGACCAAAUGGGUUAUCCGGUUCCACUGUGCAACGGCUUGUAUGCACGACUACUUCUAAUGGGGAAGUCAAACGGAGAUCAGUCGAGUCGAGAGAAACCACCGAGGAAGAAGAAUACGGUGUGUUUCCGGUGAUGGAGAGGAGGAGGAAGAGGAGUGGUGUGGUGUGGAGAGAAUCGUUUCUGUUUUUACUUGGUUAAGCAAUUCGCUUACGAUGGCCCGGAGAUUAAGGCUAAGAUCGAUGAAGCUGAUGAUGAGAUUUAUAAUUGUAACAAUGAGAAGAUUCUCAUUGCUAAAAGGGUAAAGCUUCCUCCUUUGAGUCUUUUUGGUUGAUUUUAUACAUUUUUAUCACAAGUGUAUUGAAUGGUUUGUUUGGUGUAGGCUGAGAGGUUCUCUGCCUGCUUCAGUUGAGAGUUUGGUGUCAUCACUUGAUGGGUACGAUGUAAUGAAGGAUAAAGAAAUUAAUAGCUUGAGUGAGAGAUUAAGUGAGAUUAAGAUGGAAAUGGAGUUGUUGGAUGCUCAAAUGGCUUUUUCUUUAUAUGUUGUGUUAGGUUGUCAUGAAGAAUGCCAUAGAAUUAGCUACUUCUGGAAACGUUAUAGAUCCUGAAGAACUUUCGGAUUCAGAGGGUUUUGUCAGUUUAUUGGGUGGGUGUAUAUGUUUGUCUCUGAGAUUUGAGCUUGUGUUCGUACUGUCUUUGUGUCUUGUAUUUUCAAUAGAUUGGUAAAUUUAUGUUCUCGUUGGAACAAUGACAAAGCUUUUAGGGAUAAAUUUAUUCAGUAACUACAAUUCUUAUUUGGAUGUCUUGUUGUUUUUCUUGAAUAACAGUGUGAAAGAUUCUAGUUUUCGUUUUGUGUUUCAGGACAUUGAGAAAGAGAAGAGGAGCGAGAAGCUUUUUUUACUAGUAUUAAGUUAUUUUAACUUGUUUUUUGAUUUUGUUUAUGACUAGAUUUGAUGGUUACAUGUUCUCUUAUGGAGUUCAUGUCUUUCAUGAAUUGAUUUUGUAUGUUUUGAAUAUUUAAAGGAAAAGCCUAUGGUAUUUUAUGAUUUACUUGUGUUUUGUUAGAGUAAAUUAUAUUUAUUAAUCUUUUUGCAAUAUAUAUAUAUUAUAAAUAUUAUUUUUUAAAAAUUAAAUUAUAAUUUCUUUUUAUAAAUUUAGGGAUAUAUAAUUUUAACAAAGUGACUAGCUAGGUUUCCUUUUUAACCCAUAAACCCUAAAUAUAUUUUUAACCCCUAAACCCUAAAUAUAAUACCAUAAACUCAAACUUAAAUGAUAUUCUACGUACUAAAUAAAAUCUCUAAGUAUAAUUUUUUCAGAUUUUGAAUCCAAAAUUUAAAAUUAAAUUAGCAAAAAAAUUUUUAUUUUAAUCUAUAAAUUCCAAAACUUAAAUCUUGAAUCUUCAAUACCCAAAAUCCUAACCUCAAAUAUAAACCAUACUCCUUUCGUUCCUUAAAGUUACAUAUUCUAGAGAAAACGUUUGUUUUAAAAAGAUCCAUUUUUUGCAUUUUCAAUGAAUAUUUUAUUAACUAAUUGCAAACUUCAAAAAAUUUAAUUGUUCUAAUUGAAUUUUGAUUGGCUUAAAAUUAUGGAAAAAAGAUAAACACAAAAAAUAUGUAAAUUUAAUGUGUUUUAUUAAAACAUGUGAAAAAUCUAUAAUAUGUAAUUUUAAGGAAUGGAGAGAACACAUCAACUCUAAACUCUAAAUUCUAAAUAUUUUCAAUUAUAAUUUUAACUUAAAAUUUUAUUUAAUGUAAAUAGAUAAUUUAAUGUAAAUAGAUACUAUUUUGUGUAAAACAAUAUAUAAGUAUUUCUUUCAUACCUUAACCCCGUAUCAUGAAUCAUGAUUUCAAAUCUAAUACUUUAUAAACCUAUACCCUAAGCCCCAUAUCCCAAACCCUAAAACAUAAAGAGUAAAUUAUAUAAUCUUAAUCAUAAACGUAAAAUUAUAAAUAAUAAAUCGAAAUUUUAAUCAUUAACAACAUCUAUAACCUAAAUUUGACUAUUACAUAUAUAACAUACAUAUAAAAUCAACUUAAAUCAAUAGAUCUGAUCGGUAGAGAUUACUUAAAACAAAGUGGAAGAAAAAAGAAAAAAGAAAAACAAAGAAAAUCUGUCAUUGGUUAAUAUCUCAAACACAAGAUAACCUUACGAGCCCUUGAUAUCUUCAUAUCUUCUAAUCCAACGGACUGGAUCAAUUUGCGACAAAGGCAUUAUCUUUGACUUCCACGCAUCAGAAACGAGUGGCCUAAAAUGCAUUGAAACACCCAUUUUUUAAUAUAAACUAAAAAAAAAUAUUUCAUUGGUCAAUUUUUGAUGGCAUGGAUUACAAUCUGUGGCCAUUCAUUAAUCAUGAUCCAAUGGCUAAAAACAUUUUAUCCUUCUGCUCAUCUCUCUCCGUCUGCAAGUUGUUUAUGUCUUAGAAGAAAAUUACCGGGGGGGGGGGUUUUAGGCGAAAAAGUGGUAUGGGCCUCACCAAAAAGGGGAGACCGUUGUUUUCUAUCGCGAAAUAAGAGACGUCUUUUGCUCUGUUUUGCGGGCUCUACUGACACGUGGCGAUUCGCGAUUGGUUCAUUUUUAAAUUUUUUUUUUUUAAAUCAGAAAAAAAAUAAAAAAUAGGAAAUAGGUAUUUGCGGUGCUCUUACGUCUCUUCUUUUCCUGAUUCAACAUUUUUCUCUCAAAAGUUAUAGAUUCUAUGUAGAGAUUCAUCGGCAAAGCUUAUUCUUUUGAAUCUAUCUCCUUUAUUUUCGUGUUCGUAUCUUAGACCAGGAGGAGUAGCAAUGAGUCUUAUUCACCAAUCGACAAAGACAAUGAAGGACCAGAAAGAGACGUGAGCUUGGGUCAACAACAACAAGAGCUUCUGCGUUUGUGUCUUUCAUCUACUACCUUCUCCUUACGGCAUGUGUUUAGCUGCAGACCCUUUCGUCUCGUACGACUUCAAAGUCUCGAAAUUCCUCAACAGGUUUGGCUUUGUUUUUAAUCUGUAAUAGUCAUCUCUCAUCUCUCUCUAUCUAUUUGUUUUUAAUCUGAUUUUUUUCUGUGUUUAGUAAAGGUCGUGGCCGUGAGCAAGAGGACCCAUCUCGAACUCGCCUCCGUCACGACCCGUCGUCACCGGUCUUGAGCUUGUCUUCACCGGUCUCGAACUCGUCCCUGUAGUCAUCGAUGAUGCCGGAGAUGGAGAUGAAUAGACGAAGACAUCGAGAAGAAAGAGGCAAAGGAGCAAGGAGGCGGCAGUAGAAAGAUUAGGUUUAGGGUUAAUUAUGUUUAUAUUUUGGUUUAGCGUUAAAUAGAUUUUGGUUAAUGUGUUCUGGUUUACUUAAUUUUAUUUAAUGCUGGUUUAGUUUUCUAAAACUAAUUUUAUUUGUAAAUUAUUUUAAUUAAUAAAUAUAAUUCAUCUUCAAUUUUAAAUUUAAAUUAAUUCUAAUUUAUAUUAUAAAUCAAUUUUAAUUUUAAUUAAUAAUUAAAAAUAAAUAAUUAAAAUUUAUAAUUUUAAAAUAUAAAUGAGAUAUAAAAUUAAUAAUUUUAAAAUAUAAAUGAGAUUUAAUAGCAUUAUAUCAAUGUCGUUAUAAAAUAUUAUACAACAUUAAAAAAAUGCCAUGAAAAACUAAAUCAUAGCACGAAUAAAAAAGUAUAAAACAUUAAUUUAUAGCUCAUAAAUAAACGCUACAAUAUCUAUACUUUUUAUAGCACACGAAAAUACGCUACGAUAAAGUGGGGUUGUAAAUAGAUACUAUUUUGUGUAAAACAAUAUAUAAGUAUUUCUUUCAUACCUUAACCCCGUAUCAUGAAUCAUGAUUUCAAAUCUAAUACUUUAUAAACCUAUACCCUAAGCCCCAUAUCCCAAACCCUAAAACAUAAAGAGUAAAUUAUAUAAUCUUAAUCAUAAACGUAAAAUUAUAAAUAAUAAAUCGAAAUUUUAAUCAUUAACAACAUCUAUAACCUAAAUUUGACUAUUACAUAUAUAACAUACAUAUAAAAUCAACUUAAAUCAAUAGAUCUGAUCGGUAGAGAUUACUUAAAACAAAGUGGAAGAAAAAAGAAAAAAGAAAAACAAAGAAAAUCUGUCAUUGGUUAAUAUCUCAAACACAAGAUAACCUUACGAGCCCUUGAUAUCUUCAUAUCUUCUAAUCCAACGGACUGGAUCAAUUUGCGACAAAGGCAUUAUCUUUGACUUCCACGCAUCAGAAACGAGUGGCCUAAAAUGCAUUGAAACACCCAUUUUUUAAUAUAAACUAAAAAAAAAUAUUUCAUUGGUCAAUUUUUGAUGGCAUGGAUUACAAUCUGUGGCCAUUCAUUAAUCAUGAUCCAAUGGCUAAAAACAUUUUAUCCUUCUGCUCAUCUCUCUCCGUCUGCAAGUUGUUUAUGUCUUAGAAGAAAAUUACCGGGGGGGGGGGUUUUAGGCGAAAAAGUGGUAUGGGCCUCACCAAAAAGGGGAGACCGUUGUUUUCUAUCGCGAAAUAAGAGACGUCUUUUGCUCUGUUUUGCGGGCUCUACUGACACGUGGCGAUUCGCGAUUGGUUCAUUUUUAAAUUUUUUUUUUUUAAAUCAGAAAAAAAAUAAAAAAUAGGAAAUAGGUAUUUGCGGUGCUCUUACGUCUCUUCUUUUCCUGAUUCAACAUUUUUCUCUCAAAAGUUAUAGAUUCUAUGUAGAGAUUCAUCGGCAAAGCUUAUUCUUUUGAAUCUAUCUCCUUUAUUUUCGUGUUCGUAUCUUAGACCAGGAGGAGUAGCAAUGAGUCUUAUUCACCAAUCGACAAAGACAAUGAAGGACCAGAAAGAGACGUGAGCUUGGGUCAACAACAACAAGAGCUUCUGCGUUUGUGUCUUUCAUCUACUACCUUCUCCUUACGGCAUGUGUUUAGCUGCAGACCCUUUCGUCUCGUACGACUUCAAAGUCUCGAAAUUCCUCAACAGGUUUGGCUUUGUUUUUAAUCUGUAAUAGUCAUCUCUCAUCUCUCUCUAUCUAUUUGUUUUUAAUCUGAUUUUUUUCUGUGUUUAGUAAAGGUCGUGGCCGUGAGCAAGAGGACCCAUCUCGAACUCGCCUCCGUCACGACCCGUCGUCACCGGUCUUGAGCUUGUCUUCACCGGUCUCGAACUCGUCCCUGUAGUCAUCGAUGAUGCCGGAGAUGGAGAUGAAUAGACGAAGACAUCGAGAAGAAAGAGGCAAAGGAGCAAGGAGGCGGCAGUAGAAAGAUUAGGUUUAGGGUUAAUUAUGUUUAUAUUUUGGUUUAGCGUUAAAUAGAUUUUGGUUAAUGUGUUCUGGUUUACUUAAUUUUAUUUAAUGCUGGUUUAGUUUUCUAAAACUAAUUUUAUUUGUAAAUUAUUUUAAUUAAUAAAUAUAAUUCAUCUUCAAUUUUAAAUUUAAAUUAAUUCUAAUUUAUAUUAUAAAUCAAUUUUAAUUUUAAUUAAUAAUUAAAAAUAAAUAAUUAAAAUUUAUAAUUUUAAAAUAUAAAUGAGAUAUAAAAUUAAUAAUUUUAAAAUAUAAAUGAGAUUUAAUAGCAUUAUAUCAAUGUCGUUAUAAAAUAUUAUACAACAUUAAAAAAAUGCCAUGAAAAACUAAAUCAUAGCACGAAUAAAAAAGUAUAAAACAUUAAUUUAUAGCUCAUAAAUAAACGCUACAAUAUCUAUACUUUUUAUAGCACACGAAAAUACGCUACGAUAAAGUGGGGUGUCUAUUAUAGCUGCGGCUGUCAGAGCGUUUACAAAAACGCUACGAAAGCUCUAUAGUAGCGUUUUUCGGGUGCUACCAAUACUGAUAUUUUUUGUAGUGAUGUCAAAAUAUAAGAAUCGGGUGAGGAUAGAUAUGAUAUUAUCUUCAAAUUUCUCUAAUCCAUUUUUUGGUAGACGUAAACAAAAAAAAUGUCCCCAAUUCAACUACGAAAAUCACUAACAUAGAAGAAAAAUGGAGAAGAAUAAAUCAACUAGAACAAGUCACUAAGUUUGUGGUUGUGAGUGUGAGAGAGACAACAUUCAUGUUAUCGUACCACAUACUGUUAGAAAUUCAAUAAAAACGGAUAUAUACGGUUCCCAAUCUUUCCUUCUAUAUAUUCCUCCCCUUGCUUUAUCUUCUUCUAAGCCAACAUCUCAAAAUAGAAGAGAAAAAAUGGUGACCAAAACCUCGGUCGAGUUCGAUCCAUAUAUGGAGCGAAAAGCUUUCGACCAGACGAAAGAAGGUGUAAAAGGGUUGGUCGACGCUAAAAUCACCGAAGUCCCACGUAUAUUCCAUGUCCCUCAAGAUUCCUUGACAGACAAGAAACCUAACUCUGUUACAGACCUAGAGAUCCCUACCAUCGACUUUGCAAGCGUCCACCUCGACACAGCGUCACGUGAAGCCGUUGUAGAGAAGGUCAAAUACGCGGCGGAGAAGUGGGGAUUCUUCCAGGUGAUCAAUCAUGGUGUUCCUUUGAACGUUCUUGAAGAGAUUCAAGAUGGAGUUCGUAGGUUUCACGAGGAAGAUCCUGAGGUGAAGAAACGAUAUUUCUCGCGUGAUCUCGCCAACAAAAACUUUGUCUACAAUAGUAACUUCGAUCUAUACGGUUCAUCACCAUCUGUUAACUGGAGAGAUACUUUCGCUUGUUACAUAGCUCCAGAUCCUCCUCCUGAGAGGAACUCCCAGUGACUUGCAGGUGACGGAAACAAACUUUUAACUUCGUUUUUUUUGUAUUGAAGGUUACAGUGACUUGUUACAUAGUUCAAUCAUGAGUGGCUUUUAAGUUCUCAACUUUUUUUUUCCUUCAAGAGAGUGCUAUUGAUUUCUAACAUCAUUGAGUGGCUGUUACCCAGGGAUGCUUUGUUCGAAUACUCAAAACAUGUGAUGAGUCUAGGUGGUUUACUCUUUGAGCUUCUCUCAGAAGCAUUAGGUUUGGAACCUGAUAUCCUGAAGAGCAAGGGGUGCUUGAAGAGUUUGCUUAUGAUCUGCCAUUAUUACCCACCUUGUCCACAACCUGACCUAACUUUGGGGACAAGUAAACACUCCGACAACUCCUUCAUCACGGUUCUUCUUCAAGACAACAUCGGUGGCCUACAAAUUCUUCAUCAAGAUUCUUGGGUUGAUGUGGCUCCUCUUCCUGGAGCUCUCAUCAUCAACAUUGGAGAUUUC
rnacentral:lncRNA from 1 species